UACAGAGGGUGCAAACGUUGCUCGGAAUCAUUGGGCGUAAAGCGCACGUAGGCGGCCCAGCAAGUGGGGAGUGAAAGCCCUCGGCUUAACCGAGGAAGUGCCUUCCAAACUACUGGGCUUGAAUACUGGAGAGGGUCGCGGAAUUCCCGGUGUAGAGGUGAAAUUCGUAGAUAUCGAGAGGAACACCUGCGGCGAAGGCGGGUUGCUGGGCUGACACUGACGCUGACGCGCGAAAGCUAGGGGAGCGAACGGG
rnacentral:rRNA from 1 species